GCGUCUUUCGCAUCUCUGACUGCGACUGCUUUUCGUCUAGCCAAGUGGGCAGCGAAACUGCGUCGCUGCCGCUGCGCAGCUGCUGUUGCUGCUAUUGUUUUUUGUUUUUUUGUUGCUGCUAUAUUUCACUUUUUUUUUUGUUGCUGCCCGCUGCAGUGCAAAUUGUUGCUGGCGGUGCGGAAAUCACAAAAAAUUAGACGACCCCGAUGGACGAACAGCUCCCGUGAUUGCCAUCAUUCUGGAUGCUAGUUUCGCGGGUUCUGGUUGGUUUUCGGUUUGUUUCUGGCUGGUUUUAUUCCCAUUCCCGGGGGUCCCGGGGGGCGUGGCCACCACCCACCCGCCGGCGGGCCAUUAAGAGCAAUUUGUUGACAGUGACACACAAAAAUGGACACACAAAGCGACGCGAGGCGACACAACAGGCUCAGCCAAACAAACAAACCGAGACCAAGCCAAACCAAUAGAAAAAAAUCAGGAAAAAAAAAUAGAAAUGAUAACAUGGAGGGAAAAUCCGAAAAUGUGAGACAAUUCAAUGACAUCAUCAAAUCACUUUAAUUGCAAUCGCCUCGAAGGCGGGGGAAAUGAGUUAGGACGAAGGAUGUUGCUUGGGAAUACUAUAUUUAUGCUCUUGGCACCUUUGAUUUAUUUCCUAUUAUCGAGCAAGUACCCCCAUCUGUUGCUCUUUGAUUCUUCAGCUCCUUUUAGUAUCUCUCAGAUGUCUGCUUCUGAAAAUCAAUGGAUUUGGCAGCUCUUUGUGUUGAAACAGGUUUAAUUGCCAAUGGAUUGGAAAUUAAACAACGAGCUCAACGAGUUAUUACAUUCCUGAUUCCGAUCAUUUUUUGCAUAGUGGCAGCCAAAACAUUGAUUUUUAAGGGCGGAAAAACUGUACUCUUAAAGGUAUGAGAUCUGUCUUCCAAAUUGUAAAUAAAUAAAAAAAACAUCAUGGUAGCUGGGAGAACAGCUUCUCAAUCAGAAUCACUAUACGUAUUAGUAUUCAAUUGAAAAACGUCGUGUAAGGAGAACAAAAUUUUUGUUUUACAAAAAAAAAAUAAAAAGUAUGGACGGAAAAAAGAACGGAAUGGCAACAUGUAAACCAAUUUACAAGUUCCAGAAAGAAGCGAAUAUUACAAUCAAUGGCUACCUCAACUUCCUAAACGAUUGCAAAAAAAGAUUUUGCGGAAUUUCCCCACAGGACUUGAUACGUUUUGGAGCUAGAGAAUGGAACAACUUGCCCCUCCAAGAAAAGGAUCGUUUCAAAAACAUGCGAUUUUGCGGAAUUUCCCCACAGGACGUGAUACGUUUCGGAGAUAGACUCUAACGCACGUAUUUUAAUAAUUGAUACAUAUUUUCAAUAAUUAAGAUAUUUUUCACCUGCCAUAUUCUUAAAUUGUUCCUUUUCCUGAAGGGUGAACUUUUUCCAUUCUCUAGCAACUAGAGAAUGGAAAAAGUUGACUUUUCAGGUGAAGGAACGCUUUUUGAAUAUGGUAAGUGAAAAAUAUCUUAAUUAUGGAAAAUAUGUAGCAAUUAUUAACAUAGCUAGCUGCUAGAGAAUGGAACAAGUUGCCCCUCCAGGAAAAGGAAGACUUCAAAAAGAUGAAACAACCUCAAGUGUUUGGGAGUAAGUUCCAUGGGGACAGCCCCGAUAAAUCUGAGCGGGAGAAACAUAGUCCAGUUCGCUCUCCGUAUUCCCGUGAGUGGGAGUCCAGGAAAAGAAAGGAAAGGAAGCCUUCCAAAUCAGUCAAGAACCAGAUCAAGAAAAAAGCCGAACCUCCUUUUUUUCUGCCAAAAAAACAAUGGCCAACUUCUUUGGCCAACGCAGGUGGUUUUAUAACGUUUAUGCGCAGGUUUAAAAGGAUGAAUAAGGACAUGGCUCCCAAUGAUCUGUUGAAAAAGGCAACUCGUAUUUGGCGCCGUCUGCAUAGAAGCCAGCGCAAGCCAUUGGAGAACCCACUUUGAAUUGUGAGGACUGGAUAGGAAACACUUUUAAGCUUUAGCCGUAAUUCCAAGGAGCCCGAGAGUUCAUACAAUUUUAAAAUAAAAAGA